CCCUGCAUUCCUCACCCCGGCCCCCUUGGAGAGAGUACAUCCACCAGCAGCCUCUGCGCCUCCCAAGGCUUCUCACUGGACCGAGACGGCGUGAGCAUGGCCUCUGUCCACAGGUCCUGCUCAGGGGCCCAGGCCACGGAGUCCAGGUAGAGCCUCCCUUCAGCCCCUGAUCCACUCCUGAAGGCUGAGGACCUCAGAUGACUUCCGGCGCCUCUCCCAUGUCCCCCUUCCCUUCUGGAAAGUCAGCCAAGGGAAGGCAGCUCUCAGCUUGGGGACAGCUAAAAGCCAGCUGCUGCAUGCCCCUCAGGAUGAUGUCCUGUUUCAGUCCCUCUUCCUUCUUCUCUGACACUGGACUUAGUUCAGCACCAAGGCCAGGUGUACAGUGACAGCCAGCUGAUCUGUCAUCCCCUCCUGGUCCCUCCGGAAGUGCUGUGGCAGGUCCCUGUGUCCCUCACACCUGCUGCCAGCCAGCCCAGCCACUGUUUCCUGCUCAGAUUGUCCUCGCUGCCCCUCUAAGCCCCGGGUCCCUUUACCCGCAAAGCCCACCCGAACCUGUGCUCUCCAGAUUCCCGCCGGUGGCCCUUGAUCUUCGCCUCAUUUCCUGUGCUCCCAGUUGCUGCUUUCUCUCAUCCCCCAUUGGGCCAAGAGCCAACCAGUGUGUCCGCGGCACAAAGUGGGUGCUCAGGAAACACAGGCCUCUGUCCUGUGGCCUCCUGCAUCUCCAUCAAAGCACUUCCUCAACCAUACAGGAGCCAUAGCCAAGCUGCCUGGAUGCCCUGCAAACACCGAGCUCCUCCUGGCUCUCCAUUCCUUACCUGCCAGUGUCCAUGGGACUGGAUGGCCUUUAGAGGGGGAAGCCAGCAACUCCCACAUUGGCCAGCUGGGGGAGCCCCAGAGAAAAGAAACCAUGGCCAAGGGCCCUCAAGGACAGUUUGCAGCACCAGCUCCUUUGGCUCAGGAUUUUCCAAAGAACUCUAUAGAAUGACCUAGAAACAGGGAGAGGGCCAAGGUAGCCUGUCUCCUAGCAACCCUAUAUUCACUCAUUCGUUUAUUUUUGAGAUAGAGUCUCAACAAGUUCGCCUAGCUGGCCUUGAACUCAAGAUCCUCUUGCCUCGGCCUCUUGAGUAUCUGGAAUUACAGGCAUGGGCCACAUGCCCAAGCCGCGCACACACACACACACACACACACACACACACACACACUACCAGCUUUGUCCUCUGUGGCGUGGAGGGGAACGUCAACUUAGACAAUAUUUGUUGGGCGCCCACUAUAUUCAAAAGGGGGCAGAAGUGACCAAGAUAGAGUCCUUGCCUUCAAAGCAUUCAUAGUGCUGCAGAAGGAAUGAAAUGCCAAAGUUAGCGACCCAAGCUCCCUUGUCUUAACAGCAGGGAUGGAUAAACUAUGAGCCUCCUGCACACAUAUUAUCCAUGAGUGCCUAUUUGCAAGAAUGGCAGGAUUCAAUCUGUCCCACAAAGCCUAAAAUAUUUACUGUUUCACCUUUCACAGUAAAACUUUGCCAACUCCAUUUUAAGAAUGACUGAUGGUCAGGUCUGGUGGGGCACACCUAUAAUCCAGCUACUUAGGAGGCUGAGGCAGGGAGCUCAAAAGUUUGAGGCCAGCCUGGAGAACUUGGUGAGACCCUGUUUCAGAAUAAUUAAUUAAUUAAUUUUACAAAAACAGACUGAAGAUGUAGCACAAUGUGAAGCCCUGGCUUCAGUCCCCAGCUGAGAAAAAAACAAAAACAAAAACAAAAAAACAGUGACUGAGAAACUGAAAAGAAUUUGAAAAGAUGCUCCACAAGACUAAUCAUGAAAUAAGUAUCAACAUCUGCUCACACAUCAUCGAGAAGAGCUAUUACUUUUUAAAACAGUGUUGGUGAGGAUGUGCACUGCUGUUAGAAAUGUAAAACUGUACAACUGCUAAGAAAACAAUAUGGCUUUGCACCCAAAGUUAAACGUGGAAUUAUGAUGUGACCCAGCAACUGCACUGGUGCAUUCCCAUCCAAAAUGAUUGAAAGCAAGGUCUCCAGAUAGGUGUGCAUCCGCGUUCACAGCAGUGUUGCUCACAGUAGCCCAAAGGCAGGAAGCCAGCAGCUGAACAGAAUGUGGUGCAUCCAUAGCAUGGCUGUUAUCCAGCCUUGGGAGGGAAGGGAAUUCUGGGACGUGUUACAACACAGAUACAACUUUGAGGACAUUAUUUUGAGUAA
rnacentral:lncRNA from 1 species